rnacentral:ncRNA from 1 species
UGAGCAUGGCCGGUGUUCGUAUGGCAAGCUGUCUUUCUCCUCGUCCACCCAUCCAGUUUCUUGCAGGAUGGAGACGAGGUGGGAAUGUCGGCAAGCGUAACGUCCUGAGAUUAUACGGUCUGAACUUGAUCAGGAUUAUACCUGCGAAAGAAACAUGCUCUUCUCUUUCC